rnacentral:rRNA from 1 species
UACGUAGGGUGCGAGCGUUAGUCGGAAUUACUGGGCGUAAAGCGUGCGCAGGCGGCUUUGCAAGACAGAUGUGAAAUCCCCGGGCUCAACCUGGGAACUGCAUUUGUGACUGCAAGGCUAGAGUACGGCAGAGGGGGAUGGAAUUCCGCGUGUAGCAGUGAAAUGCGUAGAUAUACGGAGGAACACCAAUGGCGAAGGCAAUCCCCUGGGCCUGUACUGACGCUCAUGCACGAAAGCGUGGGGAGCAAACAGG